rnacentral:sRNA from 1 species
UCUCGAAUGUUCCACCUAUAGUGCUGU